rnacentral:lncRNA from 1 species
GGACUUUCCCUUGUCUCCACCUUGGAGAGAAGAGCGUGUUCUGAUAUGAAUGAAGAAACAGGAUCCCUGUGGUCUGUUUUCCACAUUCUUUGAGCCAUCCCAAUGUAGGAACUAAGAGAAGAAAUCUCAUUCUUUCUCUUCUGCCCUUGAAAGAGCAACAGGUUCUGCAGCAGUGAGUCCAAGAUCCCCACUGAGGGCAUCUGACACGUGGCUGCAUGAUGCUCCUUGCUGCAAAUUCAAGAACUGAGGAUGUUCUUGCAGCAGUCCCUGCAAUGGAGACCAUUGCACCAGAUGCCUCUGCAUAUUUAAGACCAAGGAGUGGGAUAAGGUCUCUCAGAGCAGGACCCUGUGGCAGCCACGUUUGCA